GAUGUACUCCCUCCGUUCGGAAUUACUCGUCCAAGAAAUGAAUGUAUCUAGAUGUAUUUUAGUUGUAGAUACAUCCAUUUGUGUGACAAGUAAUUCUGAACGGAGGGAGUAUUAU
rnacentral:pre_miRNA from 1 species